rnacentral:rRNA from 1 species
UACGGAGGGGGCUAGCGUUUUUAGGAAUCACUGGGCGUAAAGCGCACGUAGGCGGAUUGUCAAGUCGGGGGUGAAAGCCCGGGGCUCAACCUCGGAACUGCCUCCGAUACUGACUGUCUGGAGUCCGGGAGAGGUGAGUGGAAUUCCUAGUGUAGAGGUGAAAUUCGUAGAUAUUAGGAAGAACACCAGUGGCGAAGGCGGCUCACUGGCCCGGUACUGACGCUGAGGUGCGAAAGCGUGGGGAGCAAACAGG